rnacentral:rRNA from 1 species
UAGGGAAUCUUCGGCAAUGGACGAAAGUCUGACCGAGCAACGCCGCGUGAGUGAAGAAGGUUUUCGGAUCGUAAAACUCUGUUGUUAGAGAAGAACAAGGACGUUAGUAACUGAACGUCCCCUGACGGUAUCUAACCAGAAAGCCACGGCUAACUACGUGCCAGCAGCCGCGGUAAUACGUGGGUGGCAAGCGUUGUCCGGAUUUAUUGGGCGUAAAGCGAGCGCAGGCGGUUUCUUAAGUCUGAUGUGAAAGCCCCCGGCUCAACCGGGGAGGGUCAUUGGAAACUGGGAGACUUGAGUGCAGAAGAGGAGAGUGGAAUUCCAUGUGUAACGGUGAAAUGCGUAGAUAUAUGGAGGAACACCAGUGGCGAAGGCGGCUCUCUGGUCUGUAACUGACGCUGAGGCUCGAAAGCGUGGGGAGCAAACAGG